AAAGUCCACUACGUGGUAAGGCGUAGCGAGCCGCUACGGACCCGAGUCAUGCGUCGGCUACCCGUGUAAGGGGGCGGCGAAGCGUUGGCGCGGGGCUGCGUAGGCGAGGUAUUGAGCUCCGAAAUCAUGGCUUUGGUGCGUCGACCUUGUACUCAUAUGGGGAAGACAACACGGUACGUAAC
rnacentral:ncRNA from 1 species